CCUACGGGUGGCUGCAGUGAGGAAUAUUGGUCAAUGGCCGGGAGCCUGAACCAGCCAAGCAGCGUGAAGGAUGACGGCCCUACGGGUUAUAAACUUCUUUUAUCAAGGAAUAAAGUCAGGCUCGUGUGCCUUCCCGUAUGUACUUUAUGAAUAAGCAUCGGCUAACUCCGUGCCAGCAGCCGCGGUAAUACGGAGGAUUCGAGCGUUAUCCGGAUUUAUUGGGUUUAAAGGGUGCGUAGGGGGGCUGUUAAGUCAGCUGUAAAAGGUUGGGGCUCAACCGUAGCAGUGCAUUUGAUACUGGCAGUCUUGAGAUGAGUUGAGGUAGGCGGAAUUCGUGGUGUAGCGGUGAAAUGCUUAGAUAUUGCGCAGAACUCCGAUUGCGAAGGCAGCUUACU
rnacentral:rRNA from 1 species